GUGCAAGUCAAGCGCUGUUCCUAAUGUUUUAGUAAGCAGUCCUCACUUAAAAUUUGGUAGCGUUUGUUGAAUUUAACUUCCUGUUGGUAGCUCUGGGUGCAUCUGGGAUCUGGAAAGGUCCCUGUUCCCCUUCUGCACCUCUUCCCUUGCACCUGGCCUGGCUCAUGGCCAGCUGUGGUAGGGCCAAGGUGAUGGUUACAGCAGGGAAAAAGGGCCUGGCUCCUUCCAGACCCACUGUGCUGGCUCUGUACCUCCAAGGCGCUGAAGCAGGCCUUGGAGAGAGCCAGCAUGGGUGUGAAUUAUUCUGCCUCUGUGUUCUCCCUCCUUCAGCUGUAAAGUGCUUGUGACAUGCUUCCGAGGACUCUUUAUCUGAAAGUUUAUGUGGAAAAUGAAGGGAAAAAAAGAGCAUUUAACUGCCCUGUGGCAACAUGUUGUCAUCAUAGUACCUGUUGCCCAGGGGAAUGAAAAGCAUUGUGAGCUUGCUCAAGUUCCCCACAUCACAAAGCUUUCUCAUGAGGUUUCUUCCUUAGUCAUGUGCUGGAAGAGGAUCGGUGGGGACACGCUCCUGUGUCUGUGAUUUGACUGCUUCAGGUGAGGUGCCUGGAGGCUGAGCAGCUACACAGCAGGUGCAGCUCUGAGCAGGGAGAAGAUUGACCAGGUGCUUCCACGUCAAGUAGUCAAACACAAGAGUGAGAAACUGAACAUGUCUGGAGUCCUAUUUCUAUGGCUUCAAAACACCCUUCCUCAAAAAUACUUCAUUGUUUCAAUGGACCAAACAGUGCUAUAACACAAUGUCACUGCUGUGAUUUAAAGCUCACUGGAGUAAUAAAUCCAUCUGAAUAUAAAAUAAAAAA